GACGAACGCUGGCGGCGUGCUUAACACAUGCAAGUCGAGCAGAAAGGCCCUUUCGGGGGUACUCGAGCGGCGAACGGGUGAGUAACACGUGAGUAAUCUGCCCCUGGCUUUGGGAUAGCCACCGGAAACGGUGAUUAAUACCGGAUACGACCACUUCUCGCAUGGGAUGGUGGUGGAAAGUUUUUCGGCCAGGGAUGUGCUCGCGGCCUAUCAGCUUGAUGGUGAGGUAAUGGCUCACCAUGGCUUCGACGGGUAGCCGGCCUGAGUGGGUGACCGGUCACACUGGGACUGAGACACGGCCCAGACUCCUACGGGAGGCAGCAGUGGGGAAUAUUGGACAAUGGGCGGAAGCCUGAUCCAGCAACGCCGCGUGAGGGAUGACGGCCUUCGGGUUGUAAACCUCUUUCAGCAGGGACGAAGCGCAAGUGACGGUACCUGCAGAAGAAGCACCGGCCAACUACGUGCCAGCCGCCGCGGUAA
rnacentral:rRNA from 1 species